CCGCCGCUCUCUGGCCCGGGCGGCCCCUUUAAGGGCAGCCGGGCCGCGAGGGCCCCCUUGCUGGAGGGACGCGCGGGCGCCCCAGCGGACACCGUUUGGGCAGAGAGGGUCCCCGGGCGGGGGAUGGGCGCUCCCGGGAGGCGGUCCCGACUGAGCAUGCUCAGUCGAGGGUCCGACUGCGGCGCGGACUGAAGAUUUUGGACCGGCUGACUCCGGGGGCCUUGGGGACGAACCUGGUGGUGGUGGAGACGCAAACCAAAGAAAAGCAUGUGAUAAAGCAGGUGGAGUGCAUCGAUGAGCAUCAGGCCACCAAAGCCCUGGAGGAGGUAACGUUCUGGGCGGUUCCCUCUCUAGAGGGCGUGCUGCAGGACCCACCGACUGUUCUGCCCCCUCCUGUGGAGUGAUGGGGGAAGGGAGCCUGGCAGAGGCGGGGAGCUCAGAACCAGCUCUUUCCCGGUCCCGUGCAGCCAGAAGCCCCCCGUCAUGAGGGGAGUCUGUGCCCCAAACACGCACUUCUAAAUCCAGGUAGUGACCCCUUAGAAGACGUGUUCUCAGAGGAGAUAAGCUUGAAAUGACGGCCAGGUCCUGGGCUCAUCUACCAUAACCACCUUUAGAGCUGCACCCGAGGCACACGGACAUUCCCGGGCUAGGGUCGAAUCAGAGCUACGGCUGCCGGCCUACACCACAGCCACAGCAAAGCAGAAUCCGAGCCACAUCUGUGACCUACGCCACAGCUCAUGGCAACGCUGGAUCCCCGACCCACUAAGCAAGACCAAGGACUGAACUCACAUCUUCCCAGCUUCUAGUCAGAUUCAUUUUUGCUGCACCACAACAAGAACUCCUACCAUAACCUUCUUCUAAAAGAUCUUUUUUGAGUUCCGUCGUGGACAGUGG
rnacentral:lncRNA from 9 species